UACGUAGGGGGCAAGCGUUGUCCGGAUUUACUGGGCGUAAAGAGCGUGUAGGCGGCCACGCAGGUCCGUUGUGAAAACUGGAGGCUCAACCUCCAGCUGUCGACGGAAACCGUGUGGCUAGAGUCCGGAAGAGGAGAGUGGAAUUCCUGGUGUAGCGGUGAAAUGCGCAGAUAUCAGGAAGAACACCAAUGGCGAAAGCAGCUCUCUGGGACGGUACUGACGCUGAGACGCGAAAGCGUGGGGAGCGAACAGG
rnacentral:rRNA from 1 species